rnacentral:rRNA from 1 species
UACGAAGGGGGCUAGCGUUGUUCGGAAUCACUGGGCGUAAAGGGCGCGUAGGCGGCCUGAUAAGUCGGGGGUGAAAGCCUGUGGCUCAACCACAGAAUUGCCUUCGAUACUGUCGGGCUUGAGACCGGAAGAGGUAAGUGGAACUGCGAGUGUAGAGGUGAAAUGCGCAGAUAUCAGGAGGAACACCAAUUGCGAAGGCAGCUCGCUGGGACGUAACUGACGCUGAGACGCGAAAGCGUGGGGAGCAAACAGG